UACGUAGGGUGCAAGCGUUGUCCGGAAUUAUUGGGCGUAAAGAGCUCGUAGGCGGUCUGUCGCGUCUGCUGUGAAAAUCCAGGGCUCAACCCUGGACCUGCAGUGGGUACGGGCAGACUAGAGUGCGGUAGGGGAGAUCGGAAUUCCUGGUGUAGCGGUGAAAUGCGCAGAUAUCAGGAGGAACACCGGUGGCGAAGGCGGUGCUCUGGGCCUGAACUGACGCUGAGGAGCGAAAGCGUGGGGAGCAAACAGG
rnacentral:rRNA from 1 species